rnacentral:rRNA from 1 species
CACCACAACAGGUGGAGCCUGCGGUUAAUCGGACUCAAACGCCGGGAAACUCACCAGAUAAGACAGCUGAAUGAUAGUCGGGCUGAAGACUCUACUUGACUAGCUGAGAGGAGGUGCAUGGCCGUCGUCAGUUCGUACUGUGAAGCAUCCUGUUAAGUCAGGCAACGAGCGAGACCCACGCCAACAGUUGCCAGCUCGUCCUCCGGGAUGGUGGGGACACUGUUGGGACCGCCUCUGCUAAAGAGGAGGAAGGAAUGGGCAACGGUAGGUCAGCAUGCCCCGAAUUAUCUGGGCUACACGCGGGCUACAAUGGGUGGGACAAUGGGUAUCGACACCGAAAGGUGAAGGCAAUCUCCUAAACCCAUCCGUAGUUCGGAUUGUGGGCUGCAACUCGCCCACAUGAAGCUGGAAUCUGUAGUAAUCGUGUCUCAAAAUGGCACGGUGAAUAUGUCCCUGCUCCUU